rnacentral:rRNA from 1 species
GUGAGGAAUAUUGGUCAAUGGACGGAAGUCUGAACCAGCCAUGCCGCGUGCAGGAAUAAGGUCCUAUGGAUUGUAAACUGCUUUUAUUCGGGAAUAAACCUCUUUACGUGUAGGGAGCUGAAGGUACCGAAGGAAUAAGCACCGGCUAACUCCGUGCCAGCAGCCGCGGUAAUACGGAGGGUACAAGCGUUAUCCGGAAUCAUUGGGUUUAAAGGGUCCGCAGGCGGGCUAUCAAGUCAGAGGUGAAAUCCCACAGCUUAACUGUGGAACUGCCUUUGAAACUGAUGGUCUUGAAUUAAGUGGGCGUUGGCGGAAUAUGACAUGUAGCGGUGAAAUGCAUAGAUAUGUCAUGGAACACCGAAAGCGAAGGCAGCUAACGAUACUUAUAUUGACGCUCAUGGACGAAAGCGUGGGUAGCGAACAGGAUUAGAUACCCUUGUAGUCC